GACGAACGCUGGCGGCGUGCUUAACACAUGCAAGUCGAACGGGAAGGCCCGUUUUAUGUGGGGUGCUCGAGUGGCGAGCGGGUGAGCAAGACGUGGGUAUCCUGCCCAUGACUUGAGGAUAACUUCAAGAAACUGGGGCUAAUACCGGAUAGGAGGUCCUGCUGCAUAGUAGGGGUUGGAAAGUGUCGGCGGUGGGGGUUGGACCAUCGGCUAGUCAGCUGGUGGGUGGGGUAGUGGCUUACCAGGGAGUUGACGGGUAGCCGGCCUGGGAGGGUGACGGGCCACAUUGGGACGGAGACAACGCCCACGGGACUCCGGAGGGAGGCAGCGGGGGAUAUUGCACAAUGGGCGGCGGACUGAUGCAGCAACGACGAGGGCGGGAUGACGGGCGUCGACUUGUAAACCGCUUCCGCAUGCGACGAAGAGUGAGUGACGGGAACGGAGGAAGAAGCACCGGCUAACUCCGUG
rnacentral:rRNA from 1 species